UGAAUUCAUCCUGCAGGUGAUGGCGUCCAUGUGAGACUUCAUGCACUGUCAGAGGACGCCCAUGAUUCCUGGUGCUCACUUUGAAAGAGCCCAGGUCUUGUAGUGCAGGGUGGACUGGGGGAACCAUGGAGGAACACGCUGCUGGCUGCUCUGCCGGGUCCUAAAACCUGCCAAGUUACAACGAGCGCACCUGCACGCGCCACUCCUGCAGAAGCUGCGCCGGUGCACAGCUGCAAUCAAUCAGCACUCAUCACACCCGUCGUUGAUGAGCGUCCUGGGCUUCUUAAGCCAGUGCAGACCUGCGUUCCGGGCCAGAACGUAGUUUCCUGUUUUGUACACAGACUUCCGUUCCCGCGUCACAAGCUGUGUGUCUCGUCUCCCCGUGUUCCCUCUGCUUCCCUGACUGCCUCUUGGAUCUCGACCUACCGCCUGGACACGGACUUUUGACGCCUCGCUAUCGCCCCCGACUUCCUGCCUGUGCUCACAGACCUACGAGCCUGCCUCGCCCCUAUUGGACUUCCGCACCUCUCGUUCAACACUACCGGUAACACACUACAGUUAAUUCACAUACAUAGUCGCACACAUACACACCCUUAUGGCUUAGUCACACUCCAUACCCUUGUUUAUUAACAUUAUUAUUUCUUAUUUAUAUAUAUUAUUUCACAUAUGUAAAUAAAUAGAGUUAAUACGUGUCUGUGCCGUCUCCUUCCUCCUGUACACGUAACAUAUUUAUUGAAAACUCCAGAAAUAAAGAGGGCUUUGGGAUCAAAAAACCAAAGUACUUAAAAGAGCUAAUACCGU